ACAAAGUUUUGGUCCUAAACUUGCCAUUAUUCCUAAUCAAGAUUAUACAUGCAAGCUUCCACACACCAGUGAGAAUGCCCAUUACCCCUAAACAGACCACCGGAGCAGGUAUCAGGCUCAAUUAAAAUUAGCCUACGACACCUUGCAAUGCCACACCCACACGGGACUUCAGCAGUAAUUAACAUUGGGCUAUGAACGAAAGUUCGACCCGGCUAUGAUUUAAAAAGUCGGUAAAUUCCGUGCCAGCCACCGCGGUUAUACGAAAGACUAAAAAUAAUGACCCCCGGCGUAAAGAGUGACCAAAGACGUAUCAACACUUUAAAGACAAACUACCAUAAAGCCGUGAAACGCUGCCAUGAGUAAGAAUCUGUAAUCUUUAAAUAAAAGAUCCACUUAAUUCACGAAAGUUAAGAAACAAACUGGGAUUAGAUACCCCACUAUGCUUAACCCUAAACACAGACAGUACCAACACAAUACUGUCCGCCAGAGGACUACAAGCGAAAAGCUAGAAACUCUAAGGACUUGGCGGUGCUCCACACCGACCUAGAGGAGCCUGUCCUAUAAUCGAUAUUCCACGUUUUACCUCACCAUCUUUUGCCAAUCAGCCUAUAUACCGCCGUCGUCAGCCCACCUUCUAAAAGACAAACAGUGGGCUCAAUAGUGUACAGCAAACACGUCAGGUCAAGGUGUAGCACAUAAGAUGGUAGAGAUGGGCUACAUUUUCUACUACAGAGCACACGAACGAGCAAGUGAAAUUAGCUCCGAAGGCGGAUUUAGCAGUCAGAUAAACAAGCAACAUUAUCUUAAACCCGCUCUGGAGCGCGCACACACCGC
rnacentral:ncRNA from 1 species